GACCAGAGAGAUGGUGAACUAUGCCUGGGCAGGGCAAAGCCAGAGGAAACCCUGGUGGAGGCCCAUAGCGGUCCUGACUGUGAAUUGGUGGUCAGACCUGGGUCCAGGGGUGAGAGAUGAUUGAACCAUCCUAUAGCUCG
rfam:Myotis brandtii contig313156, whole genome shotgun sequence.